rnacentral:rRNA from 1 species
GAUGAACGCUAGCGGCAGGCUUAAUACAUGCAAGUCGAGCGGACUGAUGAAGAGCUUGCUCUUCUGAGGUUAGCGGCGGACGGGUGAGUAACACGUAGGCAACCUGCCUGUACGACUGGGAUAACAUCGAGAAAUCGAUGCUAAUACCGGAUACGAUGUCAGACCGCAUGGUCUGACAUGGAAAGAACUUUUGUCACGUACAGAUGGGCCUGCGGCGCAUUAGCUAGUUGGUGGGGUAACGGCCUACCAAGGCGACGAUGCGUAGCCGACCUGAGAGGGUGAUCGGCCACACUGGGACUGAGACACGGCCCAGACUCCUACGGGAGGCAGCAGUAGGGAAUCUUCCGCAAUGGACGAAAGUCUGACGGAGCAACGCCGCGUGAACGAUGAAGGUUUUCGGAUCGUAAAGUUCUGUUGUUAGGGAAGAACCGCCGGGAUGACCUCCCGGUCUGACGGUACCUAACGAGAAAGCCCCGGCUAACUACGUGCCAGCAGCCGCCGUAAGAC